AGUGAACGCUGGCGGUAGGCCUAACACAUGCAAGUCGAACGGCAGCACAGGAGAGCUUGCUCUCUGGGUGGCGAGUGGCGGACGGGUGAGGAAUACAUCGGAAUCUACUUUUUCGUGGGGGAUAACGUAGGGAAACUUACGCUAAUACCGCAUAUGACCUACGGGUGAAAGCAGGGGAUCUUCGGACCUUGCGCGAUUGAAUGAGCCGAUGUCGGAUUAGCUAGUUGGCGGGGUAAAGGCCAAACAAGGCGACGAUCCGUAGCUGGUCUGAGAGGAUGAUCAGCCACACGGGAACUGAGACCCGGUCCAGACUCCUACGGGAGGCAGCAGUGGGGAAUAUUGGACAAUGGGCGCAAGCCUGAUCCAGCCAUACCGCGUGGGUGAAGAAGGCCUUCGGGUCGUAAAGCCCUUUUGUUGGGAAAGAAAUCCAGCUGGUUAAUACCCGGUUGGGAUGACGGUACCCAAAGAAUAAGCACCGGCUAACUUCGUGCCAGCCGCCGCGGUAA
rnacentral:rRNA from 1 species